rnacentral:rRNA from 1 species
UACGGAGGGUGCGAGCGUUGUCCGGAAUCACUGGGCGUAAAGGGCGCGUAGGUGGCGCGGGAAGUCAACGGUGAAAGUUCGGGGCUCAACCCUGAAUCGGCCGUCGAUACUCCCGGGCUCGAGCACUGUAGAGGCAGAUGGAAUUCCGGGUGUAGCGGUGGAAUGCGUAGAGAUCCGGAAGAACACCGGUGGCGAAGGCGGUCUGCUGGGGCAGUUGCU